CCUCCGCAGGAGCCCUUUGCAGAUGCUGGCAUACAGCAGCCCUGCAGAGCCCUGGGAGAGA
ensembl:miRNA gga-mir-12261 gga-mir-12261